AUCCAGCUGCCGAGUCCCAAAUGGGACGAAACGUGCGUCCUGGAU
rnacentral:hammerhead_ribozyme from 1 species